rnacentral:rRNA from 1 species
GCUAGAUCCGUGGCAGCAGCAGGUGUAAGACGUAGGUGGCGAGCGGUGUCCGGAGUCACUGGGCGGAAAGCGCGCGCAGUCGGUCGUCUACGUCUGGGGGGAAAACCCGGGGCGCAACCCCGGGACUGCCUUGGAUACGGGAAGACUUGAGGAUCAGAGAGGCAAGGGGAAUUCCACGUGUAGCGGUGAAAUGCGUAGAGAUGUGGAGGAACACCUGUGGCGAAGGCGCCUUGCUGGCCGAUUUCUGACGCUGAGGCGCGAAAGCGUGGGGAGCAAACAGGAUUAGAUACCCUAGUAGUC